rnacentral:rRNA from 1 species
AGUGAACGCUGGCGGUAGGCCUAACACAUGCGAGUCGAACGGCAGCACAGUAAGAGCUUGCUCUUACGGGUGGCGAGUGGCGGACGGGUGAGGAAUACAUCGGAAUCUACUUUUUCGUGGGGGAUAACGUAGGGAAACUUACGCUAAUACCGCAUACGACCUACGGGUGAAAGCAGGGGAUCUUCGGACCUUGCGCGAUUGAAUGAGCCGAUGUCGGAUUAGCUAGUUGGCGGGGUAAAGGCCCACCAAGGCGACGAUCCGUAGCUGGUCUGAGAGGAUGAUCAGCCACACUGGAACUGAGACACGGUCCAGACUCCUACGGGAGGCAGCAGUGGGGAAUAUUGGACAAUGGGCGCAAGCCUGAUCCAGCCAUACCGCGUGGGUGAAGAAGGCCUUCGGGUUGUAAAGCCCUUUUGUUGGGAAAGAAAAGCAGCAGGUUAAUACCCCGCUGUUCUGACGGUACCCAAAGAAUAAGCACCGGCUAACGUCGUG